CCGAGCCUGGCAAACCCAGGGCACCUCGGGCAGCCCUAGGGAGUCAGCCGGCCAGCCGACCAGAGUUUGUGAAGGGUGAGGAGAGGAUCAAUGGGGUGUUUAAGCCCGAUGGACAGCAAGAAGUGACCUCCAUGACCACACGCCACCUCCCUCUGGGGGGCCCGAGGCCACGGGACCGGCAUCAUUUCCGCCAGCCUCCGUGUCCUCAUCUGCAGAGUGGGGCGAAGCCUCGCCCCGUGGGCAGCUGCCGGCUGGGAUGAGGUCACGGGCAGACCAGCGAGGAAUGCAGGUGGCGCACUCGAGGCCCCAGCAGGUCCUCUGCCCCAGAACCCAGAGUCCCAGCUGGGUGGCCUCACCCCAGCCCUCGGUCAGGCUCUGAGCUUCCCACCUGACUUAUUUGUGUCAGGGUAACUGGCUAUAGGUGUCAACAAAUGUAUUUGUUGAUCAGUCAUCAGAUGCCCAAGGGGCACUGCCCAGCUUCCAGGCACAGUACCCGGCGGAUGGAUGCAGAGAUGAAGAGGCCUGGCCUCGCACUCGAGGGCACACAGUCUAGAGCCCUGUAACGCAGGCAGCACAGGUGUCAUCAUGCUCAUUUUAUGGAUGACAAAACCAAGGUUCAAGGAGGUGAAGUGACUAGCCCCAGGCCUCGAUGAUUGAGAAUGGCCCAGGGGCUCAUCUGGAACUCCAGUCUCGGCAUCAGCGGUCUCUCGGGCCCUGCUUCCUACCCACUCCCCCAACCCCUGCCCCCGUCAUGUAUUCAUACACUAGACGGGUACUGGCUAUGUGCUGGGUGCUGUCCACAAGCUGGCGACAGGUACAGUCUAGAGGAGAAACCACACACCCAGAUGGUGACACCUUUCGUUCAAUUAUCCAUUCAACAGCUUCAAUGAGCACCUACUGUGCGCCAGGCAGUACGUCAGGUGCUGGGGGUACAGCAAUGAACACUGUAGGCAGAGUAUGGCCCUCCUGGAGGCUUUCUUCCAGCGGGAAAGCAGGCAGUAAUGACAUAUGUGACUCAGGGCAAGGGAAUGAAGAUGGCCAGGGUGCUUAGACAGAGUGGUCAGGAGUACCUUCCAAAAUAGGUCCUGCUUCAUCCCAGCCUGUUCAUUCGUUCGUUCAGUCCACCAGCCUCGUCUGGAGCGUCUGCUCUGUUUCAGGCCCUGAGCUUGGACCUGGGGCUACAGACAUGAGGCGAAGUCACAUGCACCUGGAUUCCAAGGCCUGAGGGCUGAGGGAGGUGGGCAGUUGAGAUAGUGACUGAGAUACAUCAUGGCAAAGGUAGAAAAAAAAAUAGUCCUAUUUGCUUGGGGUUGUUCUGAGAUGACAUCUGAGUAGACGAGGCUGUGGCAGGCAUAUGCUCGGAUGCUCUGAGGAGCACCGGGAGCCGAGUAGGUGAGGGAGGGAGUGGUAGAAAGUGAGGGCAGGGAGGGAAUAGGGGAGGCACAUACCCUGACAGCCUUGUGGGUCAUACGUGGUAAGUCCUUGCUUUUACUCAGAGUGAGAUGGGAGCCACUGAGGGCUCUGAGCUGGGGACCACCCUGAUUUGACCUGUUUUAAAAAGAUCUCUCCGCCUACUGCGGAGGACAGGCUCUCAUGGGGCAAAGACUGGGGGGAGAUACCGAGGGCUGCUGAGUCACCCAGGCAGAGAUGGGCCAGGGCGGUGGUGGGGAGUGGUCACAUCUGAGAUGUGUUUGGAAGGUAGCCUAACAGCAUUUGCAGACAGACUGGGCAUGAGGGAUGAGGGGCAGUGAGGGGUCAGGACGACCCUGGCUCCAAGAACAGGAGGGCAGCCUUGCCGGGGCACAUCCGGCCUGAGUUUCACGUCCUUCACCUGGAGCGCGGCUGGGCCUGACUGCCCAGGAGGACAGGCGGUUGGAGGGUGCUGGGCCCCCCGCCGCUCCCUGCAGCUGCCUGAGCCUCCUUGGUCCAUCUCAAGUGUUGUGAUGGGUCCUACAGCUGCCAUGACCCUGCACCUUGGCGGGAGCUUCAACUGAACAACCUUUUUUGGAAAGCCGUCUGUCCAUAUGCAUUGAGUCCUUUUAUAAAAAAUACAGUGGGGCCUUGACUUAAGAGUGUCCCGACUAACGAGUUUUUUGAGAUACCAGCUGUCUCACGGCCGAUUUUUUGCAUUGAGUUGAUAGAGUAAUUUGAGUUAA